rnacentral:lncRNA from 1 species
UAAUAACAUUUUUUUUCAAGACAACAGAAACUUCUGAGAGAAUAGAGAGACAGGCUGAGGAAAGCAAGAGAGUCUCAAUGUGCUGCUAAGUGUGAUCAGACAACAAUGGAAAAUAUCACAGCCAUUCACAUGAACAAGCAAUGAAUGCCACAUUUUCUCCUGCUUCAAGUCAAGCCACAAGCAUGGCGUCGCUUCACUGUUGGAAACAGCAUGGAAACAUGGAAUAUGCAGUGCUACCGCACUGUGCCUCCUCACUGCUGCAGCCUGAGUCAUUCAGAAGUCGCUGCAAACAGGAUGGGAGCCCACACCAGUGCCAUCACAGCUUCUGUCUCUUAAGUCUGACAGGUGAAGUUGAGCCAGUGGAGUGCAUGGGAGUUGUGACUCCUGCUGACCUUAUAUCCAUAAGGUCAUUGGCUGGCCUGCUGAGACUCAGGAUAAACCCAGAAACCAAGAUGGAAGGGUGAUUCUAGCCUCAGGCUUCAUGGAUGAGAGGUCCUGUUCCUUCACUUCGUACUUGAUGAACCUGGGGAGUAAGUAGCCUCUCAUUUACUCGGUUUUUACAUUAGGAUUUGUAUAGCCUCAGUACAUUUCAGAAUUUAAUCCAAAAAAUGAAUUUCAUA